rnacentral:rRNA from 1 species
UUCGCAAUGCCCGAAAGGGUGACGAAGCGACGCCGCGUAGGUGAGGAAGGCCUUCGGGUUGUAAAGCCCUGUCAGGAGUUAAGAAAUGUAGACUCGCUAAUAUCGGGUCUAUUUGACAAAGGCUCCAAAGGAAGCCACGGCUAACUCUGUGCCAGCAGCCGCGGUAAUACAGAGGUGGCAAGCGUUGUUCGGAAUUAUUGGGCGUAAAGAGCACGUAGGUGGAUUUGUAAGUCAGACGUGAAAGCCUUCUGUUCAACGGAAGAAUUGCAUCUGAAACUACAAACCUUGAGUGUAGGAGGGGAGAAUGGAACUUCUGGUGGAGCAGCUAGGGGAGCAAACGGGAUUAGAUACCCCGGUAGUCCUAGCCGUAAACGAUGGGCACUAAGUAGAGGGGUUUU